UACGGAGGGUGCAAGCGUUAUCCGGAUUCACUGGGUUUAAAGGGCGCGUAGGCGGUCAGCACAAGUCGGUUGUGAAAUCUCCGAGCUUAACUCGGAAAGGUCAACCGAAACUGUGCGACUAGAGUGCAGAAGGGGCAACUGGAAUUCUUGGUGUAGCGGUGAAAUGCGUAGAUAUCAAGAGGAACACCUGCGGCGAAGGCGGGUUGCUGGGCUGACACUGACGCUGAGAAGCGAAAGCGUGGGGAGCGAACAGG
rnacentral:rRNA from 1 species